UACAGAGGUCUCAAGCGUUGUUCGGAUUCAUUGGGCGUAAAGGGUGCGUAGGCGGCGCGGUAAGUCGGGUGUGAAAUUUCGAGGCUUAACUUCGAAACUGCAUUCGAUACUGCCGUGCUUGAGGACUGGAGAGGAGACUGGAACUUACGGUGUAGCGGUGAAAUGCGUAGAUAUCGUAAGGAAGACCAGUGGCGAAGGCGGGUCUCUGGACAGUUCCUGACGCUGAGGCACGAAGGCCAGGGGAGCAAACAGG
rnacentral:rRNA from 1 species